GUUAUUCGCCCGACUGCUGUAAGCAUCGUCCGAAUGACUGCUGCGAUUGCAUGCUUUAUCAACUCGGCGGUUCUUCGUGAUCACCGCGACUGAGCUGAACUUGAAGGAAGAAAAUUAUAAUAUUUGUUAAGAGGAUCAAAUGAAUACUUAAAAGAAGAUUAAAUGGAUCAAAUGAGUCAGGUGAAUCCAGUGCAUUUGAUGGAAUUAUACAUGAAGAGUUUUUGGAUAUGGAAUGAAUUUUCACAUAUGAAGAAACUUAGGUUCUAAAGUGAAACAAGACAAGAUAGCUCUCGAUUGCGGAAGAAAAAAGACUACAUUAAAAUAAGUUCAUCGAGAGUGCU